AUUGAACGCUGGCGGCAUGCCUUACACAUGCAAGUCGAACGGCAGCGGACCUUCGGGUGCCGGCGAGUGGCGAACGGGUGAGUAAUACAUCGGAACGUACCUUUCAGUGGGGGAUAACGUAGCGAAAGUUACGCUAAUACCGCAUAUUCUGUGAGCAGGAAAGCAGGGGAUCGCAAGACCUUGCGCUGAUUGAGCGGCCGAUAUCAGAUUAGCUAGUUGGUGAGGUAAAGGCUCACCAAGGCGACGAUCUGUAGCGGGUCUGAGAGGAUGAUCCGCCACACUGGAACUGAGACACGGUCCAGACUCCUACGGGAGGCAGCAGUGGGGAAUUUUGGACAAUGGGCGCAAGCCUGAUCCAGCCAUGCCGCGUGAGUGAAGAAGGCCU
rnacentral:rRNA from 1 species